rnacentral:rRNA from 1 species
GACGAACGCUGGCGGCGUGCUUAACACAUGCAAGUCGAGCGGAAAGGCCACUUCGGUGGUACUCGAGCGGCGAACGGGUGAGUAACACGUGAGUAAUCUGCCCCUGGCUUUGGGAUAGCCACCGGAAACGGUGAUUAAUACCGGAUACGACCACUUCUCGCAUGGGAUGGUGGUGGAAAGUUUUUUCGGCCAGGGAUGUGCUCGCGGCCUAUCAGCUUGAUGGUGAGGUAAUGGCUCACCAUGGCUUCGACGGGUAGCCGGCCUGAGAGGGUGACCGGUCACACUGGGACUGGGACACGGCCCAGACUCCUACGGGAGGCAGCAGUGGGGAAUAUUGGACAAUGGGCGGAAGGCUGAUCCAGCAACGCCGCGUGAGGGAUGACGGCCUUCGGGUUGUAAACCUCUUUCAGCAGGGACGAGGCGCAAGUGACGGUACCUGCAGAAGAAGCACCGGCCAACUACGUGCCAGCCGCCGCAGUAA